rnacentral:lncRNA from 10 species
CUGCAACUUUCAGACAUUUAGUUUGCUCCUCUAUCCUUUAACAAUUAGUACUGUUUUGAGGGUGAGAAAGCGCUUAACAAUUCUCUAACCUUCUACACCAAAGAAUAUAUACAUAAAAUAUUUUUCUAUAUAGGAGCAAGCACCAUUUCAAGGGACACAAAACAGGCUAUUUCAGCAUCGCCUCUGCCUUCACAGCCCUUGCCGAUCAAGUAAGUGGAGCCUGCUGUUUACAUUGGUUUAUUCACUACAGGGAGGGGUGGUUUCCAGUUGAUGUGUGUGAUUGCUUUUCUGUAUACAAUUUAAACCCUGGAAUUUUGCAGCUUUUAAACGGCAACCUAAGGUAGAUUAUGUCUUCCCCAGUAAGCCUGCCAAUUUCAGUCUUUUUGAGAGGAUAAGAGAUAAGACACAGGGGUGAGAACCAGGGGGAAAUCAUCAAAGAAGUGUAAAGAGAGCCAGGGCAGAGAAAAGAGGAGUGAAAAAUAAGAGAUCACAGGGAAAAUAUUCUUGUUAUGCAUCAGCUCUUUCUUAAGUGGGUAAGUAUGUUUUCAACUUCAAAUCCUGUGUUGAAUCAAAUACUCUUCUCAGAGCUGUGUUUCCUGCUGAUGAUAUUCUUGUUCCAGACUCCUGUUCCUGCUGAUGUUUGUCAUAGUGCUUAUUUCAAUUGGAAUGUGGAGAAACAUCAAUGUCCUGCUACAUUACUGCCAAGGCAAGGGUGAAAAAUGGGCAGAAGAUUCUUGUCCCCUUCCUCUCUUCUUGUAUCAGCAGGUAAAAUUUCACAUAGCACAUUGCAGAAUUAAUGAUCUUACUAACAUUUUAAAAUUAAAAUCUUAAUGUGAAAAAAAUCACUUUCUUAAAAUGUAUUAGUAUUUCUUACUCUAUGAUAUAGCGUAUAUCCCUUACCAUAUUAGGACACAUUCAUUCGUCUCUAUUUUAUUCUCGUCUCAUCACCUGCUGCAAAGCCAGAAUAUUCCACAGGUUCCAACUUCUCCAUGUUCUUGAAAAUGGCAUAAUUUCCACUUUUCUCCUAUGUUGAGUACACCUAAACACUUCUAAAAACUUGGCUUAACUGUAUCCUCCCAUUUAACAAAGCCAAAAUAUUUCCACGUACUAUUUCUAUUCACUCUAACCAUUGAAUUGAUUUCAUUCGUUUCCAUUCUAUCGUUCAUUUUUUCAAUGUCCUGUAAUGUAAUUUUUGUCAUAAAUCAGUUGUUCAUCUAUGUGAGAAACUACAUCUCAAAUAUCUUUAUUGUUCCAUUGCUAUAUUUCCUUGGGCUUUUAUUAACACUCUAACCUUUAUUUGAGAAAAAAAAAAAAGCCCUUUUAUUUGAAAAUUCAGAAUAAAAUUUCCAACUGUUGUUCUUCAUGACUUUCAUGGCUCUUCUUGGCUGGCAUAUACUUUGCAUUCUACAUGUUUUAGAAACAAUGUGUAUAUUUUUCGAUAUGUUCAGAUUUUCUUUGAGAUUAAAUUGACACUAGGUCAAUUUAAGGAAGAUUGUUGUCUUUAUAGUACUGUGUCUUUCAAAUAAUUAAUGUAGAAAAUAUAUGUAUCUUUCUUAAUAAAGGAAUUAGACUGUAUUUUGUAUAAGUAUACUACAGAGGUUUUGCACAUUUAUUAGGUGUAUUUUAUUAAAUGAUUUUUUCUAGCAAUAUUUCUUGCUUUAAAGCCUUCUUAUAUAUUAUGAUAGCUACAUCAACUUUAGUCAGUGUGGGUGUGCCAUACUUUUCAAUUUUUUGACUUUC